CAGAGACUGCAAGCGUUAUUCGGAUUCACUGGGCGUAAAGGGUGCGCAGGCGGCCAAGUGUGUGAGGCGUGAAAGCCCGGGGCUUAACCCCGGAAUUGCACCUCAAACUACAUGGCUAGAGCAUUGGAGAGGGUAGCGGAAUUCACGGUGUAGCAGUGAAAUGCGUAGAUAUCGUGAGGAACACCAGAGGCGAAGGCGGCUACCUGGACAAUUGCUGACGCUCAGGCACGAAAGCGUGGGGAGCAAAAGGGAUUAGAUACCCCUGUAGUCCACGCCCUAAACGGUGCACACUAGGUCUUGGCGGAUUCGACCCCACCAGGGCCCCAGCUAACGCGUUAAGUGUGCCGCCUGAGGACUACGGCCGCAAGGCUA
rnacentral:rRNA from 1 species